AAAAUCUUAAAAUUUUCUUUUAGGGUUUCCAGGUAUGAAUUUUUAUGAAAAUAGCUCCAUCAACUUUCCCUAUGUGGACACAAGUUCUGCUGUCAAUUUCCCUGCAGUAGAGAAAGUCCCACAGUCAACUGCAGACAAGAAGGCUACCUUUUCCUUUAAGACCAUAAAGGAUUUCUGUCACAGAGUAAAAACCUGAAGGGCCUUAGAAAGGAGACACCUACGGAGUGCUGUUAAGCAACUAAUUCUACAUAUUAUCAGUAUGGCACAUGGAAGAAAGUAGCCAGCAGAGUGUUGUCAUCAAUGACCUCUGGACUCUUGAUUUAAGGAAAGAUUUAAACACAUAAUCUAUAAAUUCAAGGGCUUACAUGCAGCAAGAGCCCAUGCAUACAUCACUGGAUUUCUGAGACGGGCUGUUUGCAAAUUUGACAUUUGGAGGCUGUCUAAAAAGUGGCAUGAAGUUAUAUUUUCUAGAGUGACUACAGAUUUCAAAAAUGAGCAAGCAACACGGGUCAGUAGAAACUGGCCAAACGAAGCUUUUGUGGUACUCCAACAGAGAGUUCAAAGGAUGGAUACAUGGAUGGUGAUUUCAUUAAAGAAAAAGAGAUGACACUCGAAGCACUUUCCGAGAAUAAAACACAGUGGCUGCAGAGAAGAGGAGGAAUCAGGUGCGACUCAGACCUGCUAGACCACGCUUCACUGAUGGCUACAAUCAGAGAAAAGUGGCAGCUAGAAAAGACUGGUGGAGCAUUUCUAGCCUUACCCAAAAGAUUCUUUGACAUGCAAAACCAAAGACUGUAGGAGCUGCCCUUUACCUUCCAAAUCUUAAAGAAAGUACAUUAUUAAAUUAGUGUACAAAGUUGCUAAUUAGGUAGCUAUCACGGCGUGUUUUUUAUUCAAUCUACUGCUUAAUUGUCCUUUACCUAUUCCCAUUUUCUCCUUCUCCCUGAUCUCCUGUUCUUCCUCAAUAGUUCCCUCAUCAGCAGACGACUGCAUGUUACUUGUACUGUAUUAAUUUCUUGUUUCCCUAUCCUCUCUCUAAAGACCACUUUUCUCAUUUCUAUGUGCAUAACAUACGUACACACAUAUGUGUGUGCAUGUGCACACACACAAUAUACAUGCACAUAUAAAUAUAGAUUUGUCAUACCAGAAGAGAUUUGUCUUUCUGUGUCUGUGCUAUUUUAUUUAACAUAAUCUCUAACCUCCACGAAUUUUCCUACUAAAGUCUUGACUUCAUUUUUCUUUUUUCUUUAAGACACACACACACACACACACACACACACACACACACACACACACACAAUCCCCCUGUGCAUGUUUGCCACAGUUAUUUUAUCCAUUCACAGGUUGGCAAUUCAUAGGCUGCUUCCAUUUCUUAGUUACUGUGAAUGAUGCAGCAAUAAACAUGGAUGCGUAGACGUCUCUGUGGUAGGCUGACUUACAUGUGUUUGUGUAUGUAUCCUUGUAUUACAUAGGU